GGUAAUUAUGUAUCUUCUUGUUAACUUCAUUGUCUUAAAUUUCAAUGAGUUAUUAGAUAUGGAAUGCAAAGGCCCUUUCUUUACAUGGUUUAAUAAGCAUUUUGGGGAGGGUGCUACUUUAGAAAGACUUGACAAUGCAUUUAUGUUUGUGGAGUAGCAAGAACUGCUUCCCACAUCUUUAGUUUUCCAUGGGCCUCUUUUGGGUUCAGAUCAUUGUCCAAUUAUUCUUCAUUUUGAGAAGCUAAGAGACAAAAGGAAACAUUAAUUUAAAUUUGAAGUGAAAUGGCUCUAGGAUUAUUUCUUCGAAUUGGAAUUAACCAGUCAGGGGAUCUCCUUUGUUUCAGUAGUUGAUAAAUUGAAGAUUUGUAGAAGAAGUUUAAGUUAUUAGAAUAAACCUCAUUUUCAAGGCAAUCAAACUGAAAUUAAACGGCCAAAAGCCAAGUUAAAAAAUGUGUAUUCCCCUAUGGUGUAACAAAAUAUAGAUGAAAAGCAACAGAUUUUACAAAGGUUGAAUGAGUUGUAGGGCAGAGAGGAAUUGCAUUGGAAAUAACAAUCUCGAAUCAACUGGCUAUUAGGGGCUGACCUUAAUACGUGAUUUUUUUCACUUAUCUAUAGUCCAAAGACGGAAUAGGAACACAAAUUCUAAACUUCUAAAGCAAGAUGGACCCUUAGUUGAAUAUGAAGAUGAGACAAAAGAGGAAAUUUCUAGUUUUUUAAAAUAGUCUAUAGAAGCAGUGGUACUUGAGUUGAAACAGAAGUGGCUGCCUCUGUUCUGAAUAUUGUAGCUCCUGAUAUUAAUGCUUAUUUGUUUGCCUCUAUUAUGGAUAAGGAAAUUAAAGAUGCAAUUUUUGAUCUUGGAGCAUCAAAGCGCCUAGGACUUAUGGUUUCUCUGGAAUUUUCUUUCGAAAGCACUGGGAUACUAUAGGCAGGGAUGUUUGCAAUGCUAUAGAAAGGUUUUAUUCCAAAGGUUUUUUGUUGAAAGAACUUAAUGUUGUACUAAUUCCAAAAUGUAAAAUUCCUAUUUUAGUAAAGUAAUAUAGUCCUAUAAGCCUAUGCAAUUUCCUCUAUAAAGUUAUCUGAAAAACCAUUAUGAAUAGGCUAAAACCCUAGAUGAAGCUUAUUACUCAGGAUCCAGCUGCAUUUAUCCCCUUAGAGCUAUCAAAGACGAUAUAAUAAUUGCUUAUAGUAGACCCUUAUUUUAUGAUGAGUGUGUGCACUG
rnacentral:misc_RNA from 1 species